AUUCAAGUCUCCUAUUCCUUUUUGGGCCGUCCCAAUAUUCAAGUCUCCUUUCCCUUUUUGGCAAAAAUUAAGAUACAAUUAGUUGAAUUAACAAUUCUCUCUCUCCCUAUCUAUUGCCUAUCUAUCUCUCACUCUCACUCUCUCUCUCUCUAUCUCUAUCUUCGUCCUCUCUCUCUGAAAUCAAGCGCCGCCCGCUUCUGUGGGAAAACCCUAAGGCUCGUCGUCUUCCUCCAUUCUUUGAGUCCGCCGCCUUUCUCCGUUCUUCUCCUCCGCCGUGAUGAACCCUUCGUAUGGUUGGAAGGAAUAUCUGAGCGACGAAGUCAUUCCCGACACCGAAGAUUCUCUGUCGUUGUGGGGUGAUCCACCGCCCGUGUUUUUCCCUUUCUCCCUGUCGGAGACGUUGCCGGCGUCGCCUGAGGAGCGUGGUGGUGGCGCGUCAGAGAGCGAGGGCGUCCGAGAGUAUGAGGUACCUGAUACUCCUUCUCCUCCGUUUCGACCUCCGAUCAUCCGACGGCCCGCAAGGAUGAAAACGAGAAUGAGGUCUGGCGAACUCGGGGAUUUCGACCUUCUCUGUCAUGAAGCUUGGGGAUCUGACUUUCUGAGCGAGGAAAACCCUAGAGGUCUGGCGAUCUCGGAGGAAUUGGAGGCGAACUCGGAGGAAUUGGAGGCGAUCUUGGAGGAACCGAACGAGUGGUGGCCCACUGCAUCCAAAGCCCACCUACGGAUGCUCGCACAUAUGUUCCCAAUUCUGUUUCCGGUGAGAUCUUUCCUUGGGCUCAUGCUUAUUUCUGCUUGGGUGAUUCCCAAAUCUGUUUUCCCUGAUUAAUUUUGGGUGAUUCCCAAAUAUGUUCAUGAUUAUUUGUGCUUGGGUGAUUCCCAAAUAUGUUCCCAAUUCUGUUUCGGGUGAUUCCCAAAUCUAUUUUCCCUGAUUAAUUUUGUGAUUGGGUGAUUCCCAUUCUGUUUCCCCUGAUCUAUUUUGUGCUUGGGUGAUUCCCAAUUCUUGGUGGCUGCAUGCAAGAGCACUAGGGUUUGUUGGUUGGCAAUUGGAUCUGAAAUGAUAUAAACAUGCUCUGAUUUUGCCACUAUGAUGGUUAAAUGUGCUGUCUGUGCUUUGUGUGUUCGUGUGCUUACGUUGUGAUGUGUAGUUGGCUGCCAUCUUAAUUGUUGUGAUGUGUAGUUGGCUGCCAUCUUAGUUGUUGGGUGUGUAGUUGGCUGCCAUCUUAAUUGUUGUGAUGUGUAGUUGGCUGCCAUCUUAAUUGUUGGGUGUGUAGUUGGCUGCCAUCUUAAUUGUUGGGUGUGUAGUUGGCUGCCAUCUUAAUUGUUGGGUGUGUAGUUGGCUGCCACAUUCAUUAACUGCACUAUAUCUUCAUGUAGGCCUUUACAAAAAAUAAGCCUAUCUAUGUGCCCUACUACAGAUUCUAAACUGCACUAUAUCUUCAUGUAGGCCUUUACAAAAAACUGCACAAAAAACAUUUUGGUCUUGCAGAUGCUAAACUGCACUAUACCUUCAGUUUGGCCUUUACAAAAACUGCACAAAAACUGCACUAAAACCCUUCUAGAUGAUAGCUUUAAUCAAGCAACAUCAUGGCAUUGAAAAGUUCUUCAAUGCCAUCCAUAUUUGCUUCAUUAAUGCCUAAUCUAUCCAUUAGCUCUUCUAGUCCUUCCUCUGCACCUUGAUCUUUCAAAUACUUCAUGCUUUGUGUGACAAGUUCAUGGGGGACUUCCAAACUUGUUGGAAGCAAAUCUUGUCUAAUCAAUGCCCCUUUCUUCAUAUGUGGCAGCUUAUAACAGUUAUUGCCCUUCACCUUCAUGAUCUCCAACAUGCAACCUUGUAAGCUUAAGAAAACACAGUUUAAAGCCAUUGGAUCUAGGUCUUCAUAAGCUUUAUGCACUGCAUUCACUAAAUCAUCAACAUCACUGCAUGCAAUUUCAGUUUGUAGGCUUUGAAUGGCCCUAAAAAACCCAAGGUCAUUGAUAUUGGUGUCGGGUGAGUUUGGAGGUUGAUUCACAAUGUUGAUAUUGAAACCAUCACGUGUGGCAGCCUCUCUAAACUCCAAGUCAUCAUUGCAAAUAUGUGGUCUUGCAUUAUCUUGUUGAAUAAACACAUCUUUGCUUGCAAAAGAGGGCCACUUGGUUAUGAUGGCAGGCACAAUCUGUUGUUUUACAUAAAAAAAAGCAUGCAAAUGGUCAGUUCUUUGAUGUUGACAAUCUGCAUUCACUAAUUGAUGCAUAUAGGCAUUACCUUGUUGAUGAAAAAGUCUCUCAUAACUGGUUUGCUCACACUUUCUAUGGGCUUUUGCUCUAGAGUUCCAGCCACCCUGUUCUUACUUGAUCUUUUUGCUGCCACCAUCUCUGUAAAUGGGAAUAUGCCUAUCUUCCCAUCAAAUAUAAUGCUGCCAUCUGCAGCAAAUAGUGGUCGGCACACUGCAGAUAUGAACAUCACCUUUUUUAUGAAGUUCUUGUUCUUGCAUGUUCUAUGUGGUUCAGCCUCUGUUGGUGUUAAAUAGAACCUGUGAGAACUCUUUGUUAAGUAAAACCAUUUCUCAUCUACGUGUACAAUGUUUUGCAUGCUCUUGAACCUCAAGUUAUGUGACAGCCUGCCCAUCUCUAUUGCAUCUAAGCAAAACCUCAACCUUAACAGCUUAUUUUGGGCUGUAAGGUCAGGUCUUAGUGCACUCGUGUGAGCUUUGAUCAGACCUUGAUCUAUCCACCGACCUACGGUGCUCUUGCUGCAAUUUAUUCCAUUAGCUAGUCUCCUUAUGGUGGACCUCUUUGUUAAAUCUAAACUUGCAAUUAGCUCUAGCCCAAAUGCGCGAAACAGUUCGCCGGCAGACGUGGAACUUCUCCUCCAUAGCUUUCAUCUUCCCUCUUGGUGGCUUUCCAUUUUUGCUUUCAAGAAGAAGGAAUUGAAGCAUUGAAGACCUCUCCUCUGUUGUUAAAUCCUUUCUUCUCAUCUUUUUUUUUUUGGCACUUGUUCUGCUCGCAACCUGCUCUCAGAAAUGGUGAGCAAACAAACAAAUGCUCUGUAUAUAUAGCUGAUGUUGUAGCAAUUUCAAAUUUAUGGAAUGAAAUGAUUAAGUUUGGCCCACCA